CCAAUAGCGUAUAUUAAAGUUGUUGCAGUUAAAAAGCUCGUAGUUGAAUUUCGGGAUUGGCGCAUCGGUCGUGCCUUACGGGGUAUGAACUGGUGCAGUCAAUUUCUCACCUUCUGGAGAACCGCGAUGUCCUUAAUUGGGUGCCGCGGGGAACCAGGACCUUUACUUUGAAAAAAUUAGAGUGUUUAAAGCAGGCAUUUUUGCUUGAAUACAUUAGCAUGGAAUAAUAAAAUAGGACGGCAUGGUUCUAUUUUGUUGGUUUCUAGGACCACCGUAAUGAUUAAUAGGGAUAGUUGGGGGCAUUAGUAUUCAAUUGUCAGAGGUGAAAUUCUUGGAUUUAUUGAAGACUAACUACUGCGAAAGCAUUUGCCAAGGAUGUUUUCAUUAAUCAAGAACGAAAGUUAGGGGAUCGAAGACGAUCAGAUACCGUCGUAGUCUUAACCAUAAACUAUGUCGACUAGGAAUCAGACGAUGUUAAUUUUUUAAUGACUCGUUUGGCACCUUACG
rnacentral:misc_RNA from 1 species